rnacentral:rRNA from 1 species
UUGAUCCUGGCUCAGGAUGAACGCUGGCGGCGCGCCUAACACGAUGCAAGUCGACGGUUAAGGCGCCUUCGGGCGCAUAUAAAGUGGCGAACGGCUGAGUAACACGUGGGCAACCUGCCCCUCGCACCGGGGACAGCCUCGGGAAACCGUGGAUGAUACCGGAUACUCCCGCCUCCCCGCGAUGGGAGGGCGGGAAAGCCCAGACGGCGAGGGAUGGGCCCGCGGCCUGUUAGCUAGUUGGCGGGGCAGCGGCCCACCAAGGCGAUGAUGGGUAGCCGGGUUGAGAGACCGACCGGCCAGAUUGGGACUGAGACACGGCCCAGACUCCUACGGGAGGCAGCAGUGGGGAAUCUUGCACAAUGGGCGGAAGCCUGAUGCAGCGACGCCGCGUGCGGGACGAAGGCCUUCGGGCUGUAAACUGCUUUCAGCAGGGACGAGGCGAAAGUGACGGUACCUGCAGAAGAAGCCCCGGCUAACUACGUGCC